UACGAAGGGGGCUAGCGUUGCUCGGAAUCACUGGGCGUAAAGCGCACGUAGGCGGAUUGCUAAGUCAGGGGUGAAAUCUUGGAGCUCAACUCCAGAACUGCCUUUGAUACUGGCGAUCUCGAGUCCGGGAGAGGUGAGUGGAACUGCGAGUGUAGAGGUGAAAUUCGUAGAUAUUCGCAAGAACACCAGUGGCGAAGGCGGCUCACUGGCCCGGUACUGACGCUGAGGUGCGAAAGCGUGGGGAGCAAACAGG
rnacentral:rRNA from 1 species